AUUGAACGCUGGCGGCAGGCCUAACACAUGCAAGUCGAGCGGAUGAAGGGAGCUUGCUCCUGGAUUCAGCGGCGGACGGGUGAGUAAUGCCUAGGAAUCUGCCUGGUAGUGGGGGAUAACGUCCGGAAACGGGCGCUAAUACCGCAUACGUCCUGAGGGAGAAAGUGGGGGAUCUUCGGACCUCACGCUAUCAGAUGAGCCUAGGUCGGAUUAGCUAGUUGGUGGGGUAAAGGCCUACCAAGGCGACGAUCCGUAACUGGUCUGAGAGGAUGAUCAGUCACACUGGAACUGAGACACGGUCAAGACUCCUACGGGAGGCGGCAGUGGGGAAUAUUGGACAAUGGGCGAAAGCCUGAUCCAGCCAUGCCGCGUGUGUGAAGAAGGUCUUCGGAUUGUAAAGCACUUUAAGUUGGGAGGAAGGGCAGUAAGUUAAUACCUUGCUGUUUUGACGUUACCAACAGAAUAAGCACCGGCUAACUUCGUG
rnacentral:rRNA from 1 species